UAGGAACGCGCGCACAUACAAAUCAAUAGACGGACGACGGAGGAAAAGUUUGUCCCAUGGUACAACUUGAGCGCAAUGGAAUAGUCGGCCAACCCACUUGUAUACAUACCAACGUGUGGCUACUGCCAGCUACAGUAAGGGCAAAGCUCUCCAUCGUUUGUACCUCGAUAGUGUUUGUGUGUUUGUUUUGGUUAGAAAAUGGAAUUAGUUACGGCUGAAGAUCGGUUUGAAAAGUUAAUUCGUGCGGUAAAAAAUAGACCAGCUUUAUAUGACAAGUUACUGAAAGAGUACGGGGAUAAAGAUGGGAACAGAAGACAGUGUAUGAGGUGAUGCUCCAUAAUUUGACUCAUUUAGGAUUUGGAGAACGAGCGUGUGCAGGUAUGGACAUCCACAAUAGGUGAGCUGGAGACGUGUUUCAAGAGAGAAUUAAAUCGACAAAGAAAAGUCAUGGCAGGACAAGCAACAAAGAAACGAAGCCACUUCAUCUAUUACGACCAGCUGUUGUUCCUGUCGACCGUAGAAAACAGGAAAAAACGAUAAGUAACGUUGAAGAUCUAAAAAAAAACGGCGGGAGAAA